GGAGUCUAGCAUGUGCGCGAGUCAUUGGGACACGUACGAAACCUAAAGGCGUAAUGAAAGUGAAGGUUCGCCUCGCGCGAACCGAGGGAGGAUGGACGAUCGUCAGUGGUCGUCCCGCACUCCCUGGGCGUCUCGUUCUCAUCGCGAGAAGAGGCGCACCAAGAGCGUACACGCUGGGACCCGAAAGAUGGUGAACUAUGCCUGGUCAGGACGAAGUCAGGGGAAACCCUGAUGGAGGUCCGUAGCGAUUCUGACGUGCAAAUCGAUCGUCGGAACUGGGUAUAGGGGCGAAAGACUAAUCGAACCAUCUAGUAGCUGGUUCCCUCCGAAGUUUCCCUCAGGAUAGCUGGCGCUCGCUUCUUGCGAGUCUCAUUCGGUAAAGCGAAUGAUUAGAGGCAUUGGGGUCGAAACGGCCUCAACCUAUUCUCAAACUUUAAAUGGGUGAGAUCUCCGGCUUGCUUGAACUGUUUUAAUGAAGCCGCGAGAUAUCGGAUCAGAGUGCCAAGUGGGCCACUUUUGGUAAGCAGAACUGGCGCUGUGGGAUGAACCAAACGCAGAGUUAAAGCGCCUAAAUCGACGCUUAUGGGAUACCAUGAAAGGCGUUGGUAACUUAAGACAGCAGGACGGUGGCCAU
rnacentral:rRNA from 1 species